AAUGUGCAAAUAAGCCCUCCUAGGUGUAACCCUUAUAGCGUUUACCUCCCCAUUCUCUAUGUUCGUGCAACUAAACCCCUAUACUAAAAAAAAGGGUUCAAAUAAGCCCCUCGCUCUAACGGCCGUCUUCUCACCGUCAGAAAACAUUUUCUUUUUGUUUUAUUUUUUUGUGUGGGGCCCAUAUCAACGAAUUUUGCAACGGCUCUUAUAAUUUGGGAAUUUUGCAUAAAUCCCUUAGCCCUAAUUCACAUUUGCCUUGCGCGAUCCUUGGUCGAACAACAUAAUUUCUUAGAAUUGGCAUAGAGUUUAGGUUUGUUCUUAGUAUUCGAGCAAACACCAUGAGUUUGAAUUCCGAUUGUGGCUCUAGCUUCUCAGGUAGUCGGCGGUAGAGAGACGAAGGCAAUUUGAUGUUUUGCUAUUGCGUGAAGGAAGGUAAAAGGUUGAAAGCUCCGAGAAUGACGUCUUGGACGGAGGAUAACCCAGGAAGAAGGUUCUACGGAUGUAGAAAUUGGAGGUUCAAAAAUUGUGGUUUUUUUGAGUGGCACGAUGAACCCAUGUCUGAUAGAGCUGUGGAGGUUAUAAAAGCUUUGAAGAAUGAAAAUGUCGACCUCAGAAACUUGCAUCGAAGACCAGCCACCAUGGAUGUUGAUCUUGAAGCUGAAAACUUGCAACUUUCCCAAGUAAUUGAAGUUCUGAAAGAGGAAGCAAAUAGAUAUAGAAGAAAAAAUACAUUACUUUGGAGCAUUUUAAUUGUAUCUUGGUUGUUCUUGUUUUAUUUAGUGGUAGCUUAACACUGAUUUGUAUCUUUGUUGGUUUAAUGGAAUGAUUGAAAUGAACAUGUUUCCCUGAAA